rnacentral:lncRNA from 1 species
CUAGCUCAUCACCUCACCUAACAGUUAUUGGUGAUGGAUCAACCGAUGAGUGAACAACUCUUGUCCAAUGAUUCUCUAAUCAUGGUGCACCCAAAACUUAGUCUCUAAUUCAUGAAGCUCACCGUGCCCGAAAUAUUGCUCCAAUCCUUAGUUAAGUCAAACCCACCAUUUGUAUGAACUAGAUUCUUGAUUGGGUCCCUCUCCGUAUCCAGAAUAUUGAGCCCAACCCAUCCUCUAAUUCAUAGCAUCCAAUGCCUAAUGGACAUGGUUGCAUCUUCUCGAUGCAACUGAGCCACUGUAUCCAGUCGAGAACAAUCAACCCCGGGA